rnacentral:lncRNA from 1 species
CUCACCUGUGUUUCAUGUGUGGCUCCCCUGUGGUUCAUGUGUGGUUCAAGCAUCGAACAUGUGUGUUUCAGAUGUGGUUCAAGGGUGUCUCGCAUGUGGUUCAUGCACGGCUCACACAUGGAUUGGGCGUGAUUCAGGCGUGGCUCACACACGACUAGUGUGUGUCCCAGAUGGUAGAGGACACUUUCACACGUGGUUCCAGCCUAGCUCAGCCAUGGCUCACAAGUGAUGCAGGCGUGCCACUGAACUGGCUCACCUGUGGCUGACACAUGAUUCAGGCUUUUGUCACGCAUGGCUCCCACAUGGCUAAGGUGUGGCUCAUGCAUGGCUGAGGUGUUGGUGAGGUGUGGCUCACAUGUGUUUGUCUCAUGGUGGGCAUGUGGGACAGGCAUGGUCGGCACGUUGUGCCAGUGUGGCAACACAUGCUUCAAGUGAGGCUGACCUGUGGUUCAAGUGUGACUGGCACUUGUUUCAGGCCUGGAUGGCAUGUGACUUUGGCACAGCUGAGAAGUGACUCAGGCGUGGCUCACACGUUAUUCAGGCGAGGCUGACACUACACAGUUGAGGUGGCCGAAGGACACUAUAGUGCCUGACACGUCACGCAGGUGUGGUUCACACAUGGUUCAUGCAUGGCCUUCGUGUGGUUCAGGGGUGGCUGGUGCAUGGUGCACACAUGGGUGGCAGGUGGUUCAGGCGUGGCUGAAAUGUGACUCCAGCAUGUGUGAAACAGGACUCCGGUGUGGCUGACACAUGUGUCAGGCAUGGCUGACACGUGACUCAGGCAUUCAUCGCGCAGUAUAAAUGUGUGACAGAAAUGUGAUCACGGAGGAGUCACAUUCUGUAUAUGGGUGGCUCCCACGUGACUACAGGUUGCUGAAACGUGGCUCCCACAUACGCAGUCACGGCUGCCACAUGGCUCAUGCAUGGCUCAGCUGUGUUUCAUGUGUGGCUCCCCUGAUGUUCAUGCAUGGUUCAAGCAUGGAACAUGUGUGUUUCACAGGUUCUUCACAUGUGGUUCAAGGGUGUCUCCCAUGUGCUUCCUGCAUGCCUCACACAUGGUUCGGGUGUAAUAAGGCAUGGAUCUCACAUGACUCGUCUGGGUCACAUAUGGUUGAGGACACUCUCACAUGUGGUUCAGGCAUAGCUCAGCCCUGGCUCACACGUGAUGCAGGCAUGCCACAGAACUGGCUCACAUG